UUCCCUGAAGCGCAAUACAUAGCACAUUGGACUUCUAAUUCAAAGGUCGUGGGUUCGAAUCCUACCUGGGAUG